UUUUCGGCGGAUCGGAAACU
rnacentral:misc_RNA from 1 species